rnacentral:rRNA from 1 species
UACAGAGGUCUCAAGCGUUGUUCGGAUUCAUUGGGCGUAAAGGGUGCGUAGGUGGCAUGGUAAGUCGGAUGUGAAAUCCCGGGGCUCAACCCCCGGAACUGCAUUCGAUACUGCUGCGCUAGAGUACUGGAGAGGAGAUUGGAAUUUACGGUGUAGCAGUGAAAUGCGUAGAUAUCGUAAGGAAGACCAGUGGCGAAGGCGGAUCUCUGGACAGUUACUGACACUGAGGCACGAAGGCCAGGGGAGCAAACGGG